CGCUCCGUGUGGACAGCGCAGCGCAGCGCCCGUGUGUGUGUGAGAGAGAGCCCGCGUGCGGAACCGUCUGGGCCGCCCUGUCCGGUACCUCUCGCUGAGUGCGCGGGCCAACGAGUGCGCCACUCGGCCAGUCGGGAGCACUCGGCUGUGCGCCGCUCCGAAUAGUAUCGUUCCGCUCUGACUCUCGGAAUGUGUUUGUGACAGUGGGCCCGAGGACAUGGACCGACACCACUGUAACUAGAAAACAACCUCUCUGUCCCACAUUACAUACACAUACACACUGCAGUUUUGUUUCUGCCUGUCGUUUUGUCCGUCGCCGGCGCGCGGCCAGCCUCACCGCCAGCAGUAGGCAGAGCCCCAGGCGUCGCCGGAGCCGCCGACGCCGACGCCGACGCCGACGUCGUCCGGCAGCGGCUGCAGCACGCGCCCGGCGCCCGAGCGGCGAUGACCGGGCGCCCAACCGGCUGGAGGAGGGGUUGUUCCGCAGCAGACGAGCAGCUGAAGCAGCAGCAGCAGGCGGGCGAAAGGCGCGUUGCGACCAGCGGGGGCUGCGCCCGUAGCCGAAGCCCGAGCCGCCGAACCGGUGCCGCUGGCCGGCGCGAUAACCGCCGCUCGCAGAGAUAAGCGGGGCAGGCAGCAGCGCACCGCGCCCGAUCACCGGCCCGCGGACACUCAGUCGAGCGCGGGCAGCCAGUGCAGCCGCAGACGCACACGCACACGUACGCAGUCGCACGCACAGCACACAGUCGCCAGCGCGCCCCUCAUGGAGAUGCUGCAGAGCCUGAACGCGCUCGCCACCAAGCUCUCGCCGCAGACGGACAGCAACGCCAACAAGGUGGGCGGCGGCGUGGGCGGCGUGGGCGGCGUGUCGGUGAGCCAGCUGCGGCAGCUGCACAACAACAACCACCCGUACAGCAAGCCGCAGCGGCUGUCGCCCCAGCCGCAGCCGCAGGCCCAGCCUCAGGCGUCGC